rnacentral:siRNA from 1 species
UAUAACACUUCGGUGCAUUCCUA